UGGGGAAUUUUGGACAAUGGGCGAAAGCCUGAUCCAGCAAUGCCGCGUGUGUGAAGAAGGCCUUCGGGUUGUAAAGCACUUUUGUCCGGAAAGAAAUCCUUGGCUCUAAUACAGUCGGGGGAUGACGGUACCGGAAGAAUAAGCACCGGCUAACUACGUGCCAGCAGCCGCGGUAAUACGUAGGGUGCAAGCGUUAAUCGGAAUUACUGGGCGUAAAGCGUGCGCAGGCGGUUUGCUAAGACCGAUGUGAAAUCCCCGGGCUCAACCUGGGAACUGCAUUGGUGACUGGCAGGCUAGAGUAUGGCAGAGGGGGGUAGAAUUCCACGUGUAGCAGUGGAAUGCGUAGAGAUGUGGAGGAAUACCGAUGGCGAAGGCAGCCCCCUGGGCCAAUACUGACGCUCAUGCACGAAAGCGUGGGGAGCAAACAGGAUUAGAUACCCUGGUAGUCCACGCCCUAAACGAUGUCAACUAGUUGUUGGGGAUUCAUUCCUUAGUAACGUAGCUAACGCGUGAAGUUGACCGCCUGGGGAGUACGGUCGCAAGAUUAAAACUUAAUGAAUUGACGGGGUCAUAGCUGUUUCCU
rnacentral:rRNA from 1 species